GACGAACGCUGGCGGCGUGCUUAACACAUGCAAGUCGAACGAUGAAGCUGGAGCUUGCUCCAGUGGAUUAGUGGCGAACGGGUGAGUAACACGUGAGCAAUCUGCCCUUGACUCUGGGAUAACUGCGGGAAACUGUAGCUAAUACCGGAUACGACACCUUGGGGCAUCCCGGGGUGUGGAAAGAAUUUCGGUCAAGGAUGAGAUGGCGGCCUAUCAGCUUGUUGGUGAGGUAAAGGCUCACCAGGGCGACGACGGGUAGCCGGCCUGAGAGGGUGACCGGCCACACUGGAACUGAGACACGGUCCAGCCGCCUACGGGAGGCAGCAGUGGGGAAUAUUGCACAAUGGGAGAAAGGCUGAUGCAGCAACGCCGCGUGGGGGAUGACGGCCUUCGGGUUGUAAACCUCUUUUAGCAGGGAAGAAGCGAAAGUGACGGUACCUGCAGAAAAAGCACCGGCUAACUACGUGCCAGCCGCCGCCGUAA
rnacentral:rRNA from 1 species